ensembl:lncRNA
CAGAAGAACAGGGUGGGGGGGGGCUUUUCUAGGCAGCCUGCUCAUGGGAAAGGGCACCCGUGCACCUCGUCCUUCCCCCCCCCGUCCUGCCCACGGCCUGUCCCGUGCCUGGCCCCGCUGCAUGCGUUUCCCCCCCGCCCCGGGGUGCACGAGCCUGGCUCGGACCCUCGGAUGCUGCCCGGGGCUGAGCCUGGCGCAGGGCUAGGAACAGUAGGAGCACCCCCCCCCCGCUCCUACCCCAAAUCCUCCUAAAGCAUCCAGCCCCGGGGAUUUGGCUCUUAACAUGCUGAUGGAGCCGUGCCGGGGCUGGGGAAGGGACCUGCAGCCCCCGUGGGUCGGUGCCCUCGGCUUCCCCCCCUGGGCUUCCACCAGGGAUGCUUUGCCCCAACCCCGUCCCCAAAUCGAUGCUUCUCCCCCCUCUCUGUGCCUGCAUGGGCUAAAGCACCUCUUCGGGGCUGGGCGGGGGGGUGCGGAGAAGGGGAGCACAGCAUUCGCUGCCCUAACCCGUGUUUCACCAGAUGCUUGUGCCUCCCGGGUUGGGGGGUGCCGGUCCCGGGACCAUCCCCCCCCCCCCCCCCCCCCCCAGCCCCUCAUUUUUUGGCUGUGGGGCACGUUGGCCAUCACCUCCCCAGCGUGCCCUGGCUUCCAAGCCCUCGCAGACGCCGCGGGUAAAUACGGGCUUGGCGCCUGCCCUCGGCUUCCACCAGCUGUCCACGUGCGUGCGCCCAGCGCAGCGCUUUGGGGCUGCAGCAGGAGCCGCAGAUCGAUGCCACCGCGCCCAAGGACGCGCGCCCGGCCGCCGCUCACGCAGGGGAGCCCUGGCACAGCUCCUGCUGGCUCCCCCCCUCCCGCCCCAGCAGCCUCGCUGCUCUCGGCUAACGCUGAAUUUUCGGUUGCUUGGGUGAGAAACGGUGAAAAGGACGGCGGCUCGCCCUGCCCAGGCUCCCUGCCGGCGCAGACGAGGCAUCAAACCCGUGCGCGUCGCCAGCAGCGGGCUGCGCCCUGCUGCACGAAGGCUCGCGGCUCUCUCCGGCGGCUGGGACACGUCCAACACGACCAGCACGGAGGGACACGGCCCCCAGCCAUCCCCGUGGGUGCUGCUCCAGCCCCUCGAUGCCUUCACACUCCCCCAGGCGUGGAAGCACGGGGAUGCUUCGGCAGGGCCUGCGCCAAAGGGCCGGAGGUUUCGGAGCCAGCAGCAGGGACCAGAACGAGUUUGGGAAGCGAAGUGCAAGGCCAGGCGGUGCCUUUGGAGCGCGGUGGGCUGACGGGCUGCUGGUUAAACAAGCCGUGUCCAGCCUGCACCCUGCUGACGCUCCUCGGGGCUGCUGGUUUAAGAGGCUGCAUCCUAAAGCUGGUGCCGCAGGGCUCGGAAAAGGAGCUGGUGCCCGUGGGCUUGCUCCAGAGCCGCUGCUGCUGCACGUUUGUACCCUGGGUAACACGUGAGGAGCAACGCCCAGGGAUGCUGGGCACAGAUCUGUGUGGCGGCGGGCUAGGAGUAGUGACCUGGAUCACCUGUGGCGCAGGAGGAGCUGUCCCGGCAUCUCCAGGAGCAGGAGGUGAGGAAGGAGCUGUCCCAGCAUCUCCCGGAGCAGGGGACGUUUCCCAGCCACGCCACAACCUCCAGCUGCUGGGGGGAGCAGGAAAACCCAAGCCCCGGCUGUCAAACCCAGCCGAGGACAGCCCCCUUCCCGUUUUCUCCCCGCAAACACAGCCCGGCAGCGUUAGGGAGCAGCGCAGAGACCCUCAAACGGCCGAGCAAGCGCUCCCUAAAACCGCCCAGGCGCCCUCCGAAAGCACCGCCAGCAGCAGUGCUGCAAGCGUCAGCGUUUCAGCCGCGGGAACAGCCCCGGCGUUGCACAAGACCGCAUCCGCACGUCCCGGCACGUGGCAAGCCCGUGCGUGGCGCUUGGCAGGCGUCCUGAUGGGGGGCAGGAGGAACCAGGACGGGGGGAGAAGCCUGGUAACCCCCCCGGUUCUGGGCUUGAGCUGGGGGACAGCCCCCAGGGGAAGGGCUGGGGGUUGUCCACUACUCACGUCUGUUCCCCCAGGGUGA